rnacentral:rRNA from 1 species
GACAGAGGGUGCAAACGUUGCUCGGAUUUACUGGGCGUAAAGCGCGUGUAGGCGGGCGAAUAAGUCGGGUGUGAAAUCCCUGGGCUCAACCUAGGAACUGCAUCCGAAACUGUUCACCUGGAGUGAUGGAGAGGAAGGCGGAAUUCCCGGUGUAGAGGUGAAAUUCGUAGAUAUCGGGAGGAACACCAGUGGCGAAGGCGGCCUUCUGGACAUUUACUGACGCUGAGACGCGAAAGCGUGGGGAGCAAACAGGAUUAGAAACCCUAGUAGUCC